UACGGAGGAUCCAAGCGUUAUCCGGAUUUAUUGGGUUUAAAGGGUGCGUAGGCGGCCUUGUAAGUCAGGGGUGAAAGACGGUAGCUCAACUAUCGCAGUGCCCUUGAUACUGCAGGGCUUGAAUACACUAGAGGUAGGCGGAAUGUGACAAGUAGCGGUGAAAUGCGUAGAUAUGUCACAGAACACCGGUUGCGAAGGCAACUUACUAGGGUGCAACUGACGCUGAGGCACGAAAGCGUGGGGAGCAAACAGG
rnacentral:rRNA from 1 species